GGAUUCCUUGCUAUGAAAAUGCGGCAUUUGAAUGCAAUGGGUUUUCAUGUGAUCUUGGUCAAUAACUGGGAGAUGGACAAACUAGAGAUGGAAGAUGCAGUCACAUUUUUGAAGACUAAAAUCUAUUCAGUAGAAGCUCUUCCUGUUGCUGCUGUAAAUGUGCAAAGCACACAAUAAAGUGAAAAUCAACCUUUUCAUAUUAGGAGACAUGCAUUUGUAAAAAUUAAUAAAGAUGACAAGUCAGUUGUCAAUGGAAUUGAGCUAUCUGCUAAGACAAAAAAUGUUACCUCAGUUCACUAUUAAAAUUAAUUUUAGGAGUGGAAGAAAUGUUGUUACUGCCAUUUAAAAAUAUGCUGAGAAAAUUCCAGAAGGGUUAUUUUUCCAACCACACCUAUUCCCUCUAGUGCCCAGAUAUUUGAUUUGUGAGCUGUACGUUUCACCUUUUCAUCUUUGAUCUACUAAAAACUGGUUUCUUAGUUGUGAGGUGUCACAGGCAGGUUGAUGUGGGUAGUAGUCCUUGUCUUUGGAAUCUGAAUAUUUAUACUCCUGCUCUAAGCUGUUCUAAGACUUGGGGUUAUGCCUUUAAAUCAUUUUCAAGCAUUGGCCAAAUAAUAAUUGGACAAAGUUCUAAAGUUGUCAAGUGUGUAAGAAUUAGUGAGGUAGCUGUUGAAAAUGAGUGAGGAUGGUAUUUGUAUUUGUAAUAAGCACUGCAGGUAGAGAUAUUUCAUGGGUUAUAAUAAGAGAAACACAGAUGAGAUGUAGAUGGUAAGGAGUCUUACUGUUGUUGGGGUCCUUCCUUUCUCUUUCUUUUUUCCCCCUUACCCCUCCCACAAUUUCAUGAAGUCUUUU
rnacentral:lncRNA from 1 species